rnacentral:misc_RNA from 1 species
UCCGGUUUGGCACCGGCAGUCCUCCCAGAGUCCUCGGCUUGACCCGGUAGCAACUGGGAGCGGGGGUUGCGCUCGUUGCGGGACUUAACCCAACAUCUCACGGCACGAGCUGACGACAGCCAUGCAGCACCUGUGCGGGCUCCCCUUGCGGGGUCAUCCCACUUUCAUGGUUUUACCACGUGCAUGUCAAGGCCAGGUAAGGUUCUUCGCGUUGCAUCGAAUUAAGCCACAUACUCCACCGCUUGUGCGGGCCCCCGUCAAUUCCUUUGAGUUUCAGCCUUGCGGCCGUACUCCCCAGGCGGAGUGCUUAAUGCGUUUGCUGCAGCACUAAAGGGCGGAAACCCUCUAACACUUAGCACUCAUCGUUUACGGCGUGGACUAC